CAUAAAUAUAUUGUGAAAUUGCCCCCCCCCCCCCGACUCAAGUUCUGGAUCCGUCACUGUUCUCAACCCAUGUUGUCACACAAUUGCAUCAUCCCCAUUCCAGAGUCGACUCUCUCAGCAUUUCCGUCAUCAUGCAGCCGUUUGCUCUGCCCUUUGUGCUCCUUCUCUACUUCUCCUUCUUUACUUCUCAAUUAGGUUGCCUUCAGGCUCGAAUGUUGGCCUACGGAUUACGUAUUUUACCUCUCUGUGACGUGGUUCUCAGCAGAUGCCCAAAGUAUUCCUGAAGAAAGGUUUUUUGUCUGUGUAUGCAAUCAGCAACUGCGUGGGUUCAUACUCCCCAAGGCCCUUCGUCAUCUUCCCUCAUGCUACCAUUAACAGCUGUGUAGGUUGCUUUACAGAUGGAUCACAAAUUACAGAUACAGAUGGAGGCUCUUACUAUACGAAUGCAGGUUGAGUAUUAUCCACAACUGAUUAUUUUUUGGGAACUCCUAGAUAUUUUUUGAUCAAGCCAUCCUACACGAGUGCAUUGCCAAGGUCCUGAUGUGGGUAAUUAAUACAGGUAGUGAGAGUACUUAUGCCACCUGUAAUUUCUUGUGAUCAUCCUCCAUAUCCAACUUUGCACUAUGUUUUAUCAUUUUUAGGAAGCAGGACACAAGCUGGAAACACUUCAGCAACAAAUGUUAUAGGUAAUAACAAUAGAAAUUUCCUCAAUCUACAACUCUUCCAGUGAUUCAUAUCGGGUAGAUGUACUUGAUUUCAACUCUUAUGUGUCUUCUUUAAAUUGUGUAACUUAUUUUGAAUGCUAAUUACAUUAUUUUUGUCGCUUAAUUUUUGCCAUAA